rnacentral:rRNA from 1 species
AGGAACGCGUAGGUAAUCUACUCUCCGGCGGGGGACAACAUUCCGAAAGGAAUGCUAAUACCGCAUAAGACCACGUUCACUACGGUGAGAGUGGUAAAAGGCGCCUCAAAGCGCCACCAGAGGAUGAGCCUGCGUCCCAUCAGCUUGUUGGUAAGGUAACGGCUUACCAAGGCUAAGACGGGUAGCUGGUCUGAGAGGAUGAUCAGCCACACUGGCACUGGAACACGGGCCAG